rnacentral:misc_RNA from 1 species
GAUGAAGAACGUAGCGAAAUGCGAUAAGUAGUGUGAAUUGCAGAAUUCAGUGAAUCAUCGAAUCUUUGAACGCACAUUGCGCCCCUCGGUAUUCCGUGGGGCAUGUCUGUUCGAGCGUCAUUUAACCCCUCAAGCCUAGCUUGGUAUUGGGUGCUUGUCCCGCCUCUCGCGCGGCGACUCACCUCAAAGUCAUUGGCAGCCCGCAUCUCGCCGGCCGUGAGCGCAGCACAGACGCGCUCUUGGCAACGACGGAUCGGCUCUCCAAAAGCUUAUUUCAACCACUGACCUCGGAUCAGGUAGGGAUACCCGCUGAACUUAAGCAUAUCAAUAAGCGGAGGA